GGAAAUGUCCACACUGAUUAGAAUUCAUUUCAUGUUCAAGAAAAAAUUGUAGAAACACAUGGAUGAACGAGAAAACUGAAAAGCUUUCAUUUUGAAAUCUUUGUUGCUCUGAAUAAUAUAAUUAUCAAGUAAUAGAGACUAGCUUUCUUCCCUACAAUUUAUUAUGUUUUAGCAUUGCUAAGGUUUCCCAGAAAAAGCAUUUACUGAGUAAAUCACGUUUUAGCUUCAAGCAUAGCAAAAAUGCAAGUAUUAUAAAUUUGAACCAAUACACAUCAUUACCAAAAACUUAUUCCAUAACCCAACUAAACGACUCCAAUACAAAUUGGAUAAUUACAGGGAAAAAAAGAAGAAAAAGAGGAAAUAUCAGAAAAUUCACUACAAAAUUAGGAAAUUAAUAAUAUAAUAAUGUACCCACUAGUCAGUUAAACAUAAUAAAAACUACCACAACAAGAA
rnacentral:misc_RNA from 1 species